rnacentral:rRNA from 1 species
UACAUGGGGUGCAAACGUUGCUCGGAAUUAUUGGGCGUAAAGCGCACGUAGGCGGUCCGUUAAGUCAGAUGUGAAAGCCCCCGGCUCAACCGGGGAAGUGCAUCUGAAACUGGCGGGCUAGAGUACGAAAGAGGGUCGCGGAAUUCCCGGUGUAGAGGUGAAAUUCGUAGAUAUCGGGAGGAACACCGGUGGCGAAGGCGGCGACCUGGGUCGAUACUGACGCUGAGGUGCGAAAGCGUGGGGAGCGAUCCGG